GACAUAGGUGGCGAACGUUAUCCGGAUUUAUUGGGCGUAAAGGGUGCGUAGAUGGUGGAAUAAGUUAUUGGUCAAAGUCAAGCUCAACUUGGCGGAAGCUGGUAAUACUAUUCUACUUGAGGAUAGGAGAGGUUGGCGGAAUUCUGUGUGGAGCGGUGAAAUGCGUUGAUAUCGGAAGGAACGCCGGUGGCGAAAGCGGAUCUCUGGGCCAUUACUGACGCUGAGGAGCGAAAGCGUGGGGAGCGAACAGG
rnacentral:rRNA from 1 species